UACGAAGGGGGCUAGCGUUGCUCGGAAUCACUGGGCGUAAAGCGCACGUAGGCGGAUUGCUAAGUCAGGGGUGAAAUCCCGGAGCUCAACUCCGGAACUGCCUUUGAUACUGGCGAUCUUGAGUCCGGGAGAGGUGAGUGGAACUGCGAGUGUAGAGGUGAAAUGCGUAGAUAUCCGGAGGAACACCGGUGGCGAAGGCGGCUCACUGGCCCGGUACUGACGCUGAGGUGCGAAAGCGUGGGGAGCAAACAGG
rnacentral:rRNA from 1 species